CUCUGUCCCAGCUCUCCCUGCACA
rnacentral:piRNA from 1 species